CCGCACGGGUGAGUAACACGUAUCCAACCUGCCGUCUACUCUUGGCCAGCCUUCUGAAAGGAAGAUUAAUCCAGGAUGGCAUCAUGAGUUCACAUGUCCGCAUGAUUAAAGGUAUUUUCCGGUAGACGAUGGGGAUGCGUUCCAUUAGAUAGUAGGCGGGGUAACGGCCCACCAAACCGACGAUGGAUAGGGGUUCUGAGAGGAAGGUCCCCCACAUUGGUACUGAGACACGAACCAA
rnacentral:rRNA from 1 species